rnacentral:rRNA from 1 species
UACGUAGGGUGCGAGCGUUAAUCGGAAUUACUGGGCGUAAAGCGUGCGCAGGCGGUGAGCUGUGUCCGAUGUGAAAGCCCCGGGCUUAACCUGGGAAUGGCAUUGGAAACUGGCUCGCUGGAGUGUGGCAGAGGGGGGUGGAAUUCCGCGUGUAGCAGUGAAAUGCGUAGAGAUGCGGAGGAACACCGAUGGCGUAGGCAGCCCCCUGGGCUAACACUGACGCUCAGGCACGAAAGCGUGGGGAGCAAACAGG